rnacentral:lncRNA from 1 species
AUGGCAGAUUUUUUGAAAGGACUGCCUGUCUACAAUAAAAGCAAUUUUAGUCGAUUUCACGGGGACUCCGUGUGCAAAGCCUCGAACCAACGGCCCUCAGUCUACCUGCCCACCCGAGAGUACCCGUCUGAACAGAUCAUCGUGACCGAAAAGACAAACAUCCUCCUGCGCUACCUGCAUCAGCAAUGGACAAAAAGAACGCUGCCAAGAAGGAAGACCAGGAGCAAGUGGAGCUGGAAGGCGAGACCUCGGCGCCCCUCCGCAAGUUGGCGCUGACCCACAGCCCAGAGAUACAGGAGGACACUUAA